rnacentral:rRNA from 1 species
GACGAACGCUGGCGGCGUGCUUAACACAUGCAAGUCGAACGAGAAUCUACUGAAGGAGGAUUCGUCCAACGGAAGUAGAGGAAAGUGGCGGACGGGUGAGUAACGCGUGAGGAACCUGCCUUGAAGAGGGGGACAACAGUUGGAAACGACUGCUAAUACCGCAUGACGUAUAGAGGUCGCAUGAUCUUUAUGCCAAAGAUUUAUCGCUUCAAGAUGGCCUCGCGUCUGAUUAGCUAGUUGGCGGGGUAACGGCCCACCAAGGCGACGAUCAGUAGCCGGACUGAGAGGUUGAACGGCCACAUUGGGACUGAGAUACGGCCCAGACUCCUACGGGAGGCAGCAGUGGGGAAUAUUGGGCAAUGGGCGCAAGCCUGACCCAGCAACGCCGCGUGAAGGAAGAAGGCUUUCGGGUUGUAAAGCUCUAUCAGCAGGGAAGAAGAAAUGACGGUACCUGACUAAGAAGCACCGGCUAAAUAACGUG